CCUGUGACUUCCUAUUGGAUUAACAGUUAAGACAUAGAACAAGCCAGAUGACCAAGAACAGAAAUGCAGUUUGGUUCUCCUCUCCGCAUAUUGCUCCCCUGUGGCUCUCCUUACAGACUUGGGGCUUCCCUCGUGGCUCAGUGGUAAAGAAUCUGCC